AUCAUUUUCUGACAUUUUAUAGUUUCUGUUCUUCUCUCUCCCAAAGAAGGCAGGUAAUAUAAUAUAGGUUGUAGAGAUAUUAUCAUACAAUACAUAUUUCUAUGUUUGUCAUGUUGUAAAACAAAACAUGUUUUGCUUCCACUAGAAAAAAAAAUUCAUUGAGGAAAUAAAGAAUGCUAGACUUCCAUCUGCAUUCAGACUCUGUCUCUGCUUUUGUGGAUUGCUUUUGCCCUCAUGAGUCUCUUAGAGUGGUCCUGGAUCCUUGAAUCUCCGAUAAUAUCACUUGACUUUUCAGUGUUCCAGUCAACCCUCUAAGAUGAAAAAUAGCAGAAAAGGUCCUGAUUUGUGUUAGUAGAAGUAAUUUCUUCAUCUGCAAGUACUUCAGACCAAUGAAAUUACAAGUCCAGGCUCUAUCCAUACCCUCAGUGGUUAUGGAAUGGGAGUAAGGAUGGGAUGAAGGAGAAAAAGAAAGCCAAGAAAAGUUGGUAUGGUAUACUGCAAAGGGAUACAUCAAUCGGAGCAAAAAAGAGUGAUUUGGGAGAAGAUCUCAAUUUGAAACAACUGUAUGAACCCCAAAUCUUAGGUUCUUGGCCACAAGUUUUUAUCUUUCCCUGGGUUUCAAAAGAAAAUAGAUUACAGGUAAAAACUUAUCUAUUUUAAGUCUUUGAAUGACUGGAUAUAGUCUAAAUCUUGGAAAGAAUAUGAGAGUGGUCCUAGACAAAAUUAUACAAUAGAUUUUUAACAUUCAACCCAGCCCCAUUCUUUUAUUAUCACCUCUUUAGGUCGCCUUUGCUUAACUCCUCCCCACACUGGUAACCAGUGCCCUCCUGUUGCCCUCAUACCCUUUCGCUCUCCAAACAUUUGAAUGAGUCCCACGCUUAUCAGGUCCAUUUAUCAGUUAAACUUUACCUAAAGAGGGAAAAGAAUUUUAGACUAAAUGAUUUCUAAGGUCCCUUCCAGCUCUAAACCUAUAAUUCUAUUUAUGUACCUUUAGGGUCCUGUUCACCAUUAGCCAAUCUGAUAAACGUAUCCAUGUCAAGAUAUUAAUGGCUGAUAAUGAGAAUGUAUUUCCCCUCCUGGAAAAUAUAUUAUUUUUAUAAAUAUUUUAGGGAUGUUUUUCAAUAGUUUAAUGUCCCACCUUCAGACCUAGUACAACAAUCCUUUGACAAAGGAGGAAUAGUUAAGUGAAACAAACCAGUACAUUGGCUCUGCUUGAUAAUUUGUGAAUGCUGAAUGAAGGAGUGAGUGGUUGGAUAAUGAGUGGAUAAAUGAUUGAAUGCAAAAGUAUUUAUUAAGUACUUACUAUGUGUCAAUCAUUGUGCUAUGUUCUGGGGAUGGAUAUAAGCAAAAAAGAUAACCCUUACCCUCAGUAAGUCUACAUCCUAAUGGAGGAGAUAAGGGAGCUAGAAAAGGGAGCUCUUGAAGGGGGAUGACCUGGAAAGUGACAUGGAUGUGGAUACCUGAUUAUGAGUCAGAUAAGGUAAAAUCUCACCUACUCAAGUUCUCUGAGACCCAGGGACAGAUCUAAGUAGUUAAUGGCUAGAAUGAUAGAUUUGGAAUCAAGAAACAAUUUUGAACUGUGACACAGACACUUAGCUGGGUGAUCCUAUGUAAGUCACUUAAACAUGCUGGGCUUCAGUUUUCUCUUCUGAAAAAUAAG
rnacentral:lncRNA from 1 species